CGUUUUGCGUCUAUUUCAUGCCAACGCGACUCAGACUUGUCCCGACACUCUCCAGAGCUGUCGACAAGCCUCAACCGCCAAAUACCAGGGAUCUUACAUAUAUAAUAGUUUUCUAUUUUAUUUAUUCUUUUUUCUUUUCAACCAAACAAAUCUAACGAAAAACUACUUUUUUUUUCCUACAAAUCAAACACUAAAGAGCGUAAAUUUAUUUUCUUCCAAAAAAAAAUUUUCACCAAAAAUUAUUUUUCACAGUUUUACGUGGAACCAUACACACCCUUACCCAAUUUAUCAAAAUGAAAAAAAAAAAUCUAUCAAUUCUUCACCAAAAUCCCACCUUUGGUUUGUUGGUUUUACUUCGUAUUCUCGAUUGUUAUCCUCUCGACCUCCAAAACCCUAAAUAAUGGAGGAAUAAACCUAUCCACCACCAUCACCACAUCCUCCUCUCGGCGCCUUUCGUAUUCCGUCACUCUUUCGAGCGCCAAAAAUUCAAACAAUAGAGGAAUCAAACUUACCCGCCACAAUCACCUCGUCUCUAUCGUGCUCUAUUCUGUCGCCUUCGUUUUGUAGCGGCACAAUGAAAAAGAUGGUGUUUAUAAUGAAAAUUAUAUGUAUUAAAUACUUAACUUUAAUUAGUUUAUGAGAUAACUUGAUAUUUUUAUUCCUCUUAUAUUAUAUUAUUGUGGCUUUUGAAGAAACAUAUGGCAAAAUUGAAAAUAUAAACAGUUCUCUAAUAGUAAAAAACUAAAGGGAUUUCUAAAGGGACUUCUAAUAUUUGAAAAUAUUAAAAGUUUUGCAGGAAAAACACAUGAAAGUUAAAUUUCGUGGAGAUAUACUUAUAGUUCACUAUGUUUGUAGAAAUCUAUAUGCAUUUAACCCAAAAAUAAAGGAAAAUGAGAAGUCUAUAAUCCGAUAAGAGUUGGUGGGAAUAACAACCUUUUUUCGAGCACCGUAAUCCCCUCCCUUCGAGUCUAAAAACUCGAAAAUAUAUUUUAGCAAUUAAAUAUAAUGAUGGGACAUGAAAACAAAAAAACUUGUCCUUGAUGGGCUAGUUGUAAGAUCUACAACCAAAAGUUGGCUGUAGUUCCCAUAUUGCUCAUCUCAAAAAUAGUAAAACAUCCAUCAAUAAUUGGAUGAUUAUGGAUUUGACUCACUAUUUUUAUUUUUUUUUUUGAGAGAUAGAUAGCAUGCUACUCACUUCGUUUAUUUUAUUUAAAAAUAAACUUAGCUAGAAAUGUGAAUCAAUUAGGAUUCGAACUUGAGUGAUUUAUAAUUGUGACGUAUAUAUUAGAGCCUGUCCAACUCAAAAAUUUAAGCUGAUAGGUUUAGCCCAAAAAUAUUUUUUAAAAAAUUAUUGCUCUUUCAAUUAUUAUUUGAUGUUGACUAUUUUCUAAAUUGAGGCUAUUUUCACAGAAUUCAUUCGCUUUGUUUUUUUUUUUUNUUAUUUUUUUUUUUGAGAGAUAGAUAGCAUGCUACUCACUUCGUUUAUUUUAUUUAAAAAUAAACUUAGCUAGAAAUGUGAAUCAAUUAGGAUUCCAACUAGGAUCCCAAAUUGCGACCUCGGAAUCCGUUUUUUUUUAUUUUUCCUAUCUCCUAAGUAAUAAGAUCAUAAAUAGUGGUGAAAAUAGAUCGCAUAAUACUAGAUCCGAUUUGAAUAUAAAUUGAGAAAACCGAAAACAAAUGAGGAUUUUACCAUUUAGAUAUUGAGUUAAAACUUUUUUUAAAUUAAGAUCUGGAUUUGAAUUGGAAGCCUAAUAUUUUUAAUUGUUUUGUAUAUUUGUUUAAUUUGUACAAAUUUUAUAAUGUCAUUAAAAUAAUAUUAUAAUUCUAAAUUUUUCGAUUGGAAUAUUGAUCUUGGUUAUUAUCUUUCAGAUAAUAAUGACUUCCUAAUUGAAAUUUGGAGAAUAUUGAAUGUCCAAUAGAUCAUAAAUUCAAAUCUUACAUAUAGAGAAAAUUAUUUGAAUAUAAAUUGAGAAAACUGGAAACAAAUGGGGAUUUUACUACUCAAAUAUUGAAUUGAAAGUUUUUUUCGUUAGGAUCUGAAUUUGAAUUGGAAGCCUAAUAUUUUAAUUGUUUUGUAUAUUUUCUUAAUUUGUACAAAUUUUGUAAUGUCAUUAAAAUAAUGUUAUAAUUCUAAAUUUUUCGAUUGGAAUAUUGAUCUUGGUUAUUAUCUUUCACAUAAUAAUGACUUCUUAAUUGGAAUUUGGAGAAUAUUGAAUGUGCAAUAUAUCAUAAAUUCAAAUUGCACAUAUGGAUAAAAUUUUAUUUUGAGUGGUUUAUAAUUGUGACUUAUAUAUUGGAGCCUGUCCAACUCAAAAACUAAAGCUGAUAGGUUUGCCCAAAAAUAUUUUAUUAAAAAAUAAUUGCUCCUUCAAUUAUUAUUUGAUGCGGACUAUUUUCUAAAUUGAGACUAUUUUUACAGAAUUCAUUUGCUUUGUUUUUUUUUAUUUUUCUUAUCUCCUAAGUCAUAAGAUCAUAAAUAGUGGUGAAAAUAGAUCGUAUAAUACUAGAUCGGAUUUGAAUAUAAAUUGAGAAAACUGAAAACAAAUAGGGAUUUAACAAAUUGGGGUUUUCGAAUCGACGAUCCAUACCGUUAAACAUGAUUUAGAGUAUUUGAAAUUUCUAGAAAAUAAAUUUCAUAAUUUUUCGAAAUCAUUAUAAAAUCCAUCAAACGGGUAUAAAAUGAACGGUCAAAAUCGAACGAUAUCCUAAAAAUAGAUGAUUGGAUCCUUCAAUUUAAGAUCGGAGUUAUUGAUCUUUAUUUAAUGAGUAUAGUGAAUAGAAUUUUUAUCAAAAAUUUAAUCCUCAUUCCUGAUUCUUUUUACAACACGAUUAAACUAAGACAAAUUUCAUAUAUCGCCCGGUUAGAAAUUGUCAAUUUUUGUGAUCUUGUGAUCGUAUAGUAAAAAUGAUAGCGAAAAUUAUUAAAAAUUUGCAUUUCUAGAAUAUUUUAAAAUGCUCUAAAAUGUCUUUAACGGUAUGUGAAUCGUUUGAAUUUGAAAGCUCUAUAUAUUGAAAACAAUUUAUGAGUACGAAGGUGAUCGUACUCAUAAGAGUUAUAAUAACUGGACUCAUUUUUACUAUUCAAAAUUUGAGUUGAAAGUUUUUUUUAUUAGGGAUUAUGAAAUUGACAUUUGAAGAGCCUAUAAAUUUUUAAUUUGUUUCUAUGUAUAUUUGUUAAUUUGGAGUAAUUUUUCUAAUUCAUUAAAAUAAUGUAUAUUAAUUCUAAAUUCUUUUCUAUUGGAAUAUUGAAUACUUGGUUAUUAUCUUUCACAAUAAUGCACUUUUAAUAAGAAUAUUGGACAAUAUUGAAUGUGCAAUAGAUCAUAAAUUCAAAUUCAUCACAUAUGGCAUUCAAAUUUAUUUUGGAGGGUUAUAAUUGCGACGUUUAUAUCUGGGAGCCUGUCAACUCAAAAACUUAAAGCCAACUAGGUUUACGCCAAAAAGUAUUUUUAAAAAAUAAUUGCUCUUGUUAAUUAUUACUUUGAUGUGGACGGGUAUAGAUAUAGAUUUUUGAAUCAAGUAAGUAAGAAAAAGUAAAAAAAAAAAAAAAAAAAAAAAAAAUAGAUAUUGACAAAAAAAAAAUUUUAUAGUUUAGCAAAUUUAAAAAAAUAUAAUUUUAUCAAAAUGAAAAAUUAAGAUGCUUACGUGAAAACAAGCUAAAAUUAGGAAAUCUCCACCAAUCCACUGUCACUUAUUAGUUUUGACUUCAUUCAAUAAUUUGUUUAAUAAUUUUUAAUACUAAAAUUUCUUUAAAAAGAGGCUAAACUCUAGAAAAAAAUUAUUAUAAUUCUAUGUAUAAAAAUAGAAGUGACACAUAGCCAUAGUUAGUUAAUUCGGAUUCGGCAAAAAUUCGGUACGGAUAUAAUGCGUAUAAAAUUUGUUUUCUAAUUUUUAAAUUCGUUGAAAAAUUUGGCUUAAAAAACGGAUUUGGUAUAAAAUAUAAAAUAUAAGAUAUAAAAUAUAAAAUAAUUUAUAUUUAAAAAUAAAAUUAUAAGUUUUUUAUUUAUAUUUUCAAUAAUUCAGCACUAAUUCGCGAAUAAUUUGCGAAUAAUUCGGCUGGCCCAAAAAUUUUCGAAUAAUUUUUUUUUCUUUCAAAAAAAUUUGUAAACAGACCGCUUAAUUCGAAUUUUCAAUAAUUCGUGAAUAAUUCGUAAAUAAUUCGCGAAUUUACUAACCAGACACAUAUCCUAUACAAAUGGGUAAAUCAUACGAAAAUUCUCAAUGGAUUUAUUUUUUUUUGCUGUACACAGUGUUGGGUCCGCAGCGUGCCACGUAGCCAACUAUUUUUGUAGGGCCCACACUCCAAAACGCGGUUUUGGAGAAACAGUUUGUAACGAUUUGACUUUCUCGCCAAGCGCUUUUGUCAACGCGAAUCUCCUCGCUCCAACAGGAAAGAAAACAGCGAACCCCUCGUGCGCAUUUUAAAACCCAAUAAUAAUAAUAAUAAUAAAAUAAUAAUGACUAAACUAUACUUUUGGUCCUCGGACUAUUAGUUUCGUAAUAUUUGAUCCUUAAAUUUUAAUUUAACAUAAUUUUGGUUUAAACUUUCUGAAUUAUUACAAUUAAGUUGCACAACUCAAAUUAGAUGGUUAAAUAUUAAUGCAUCAUUAAUGUGAAAGUAAUGUAGUUGUAUUGUGAUUGAUUAUAUAAAAAUAAUAAUUAAAAUGACACAUUACUUUGACAUCAUCGAUACGUCAAAAUUUAGCCAACGAAAUUAAGUUGUGAGACUUGAUUGCAAUAAAUAAAAAAGUUUGAGUCAAAAUUAUAAAUAAGUUAAAAUUUAAGAAUCAAAGUAUCUGUAAUUUAUCUAAACGUGAAUUGCAGAAAUACGAAGUCUACAACAUUGGGGGUUCGUAAUCUUUACGAUCCCCCAAUCCAACGGACCAAAAGAGUUUAAUUACUAACCCUUUUAUUAGUGUUUAAUUAAAAAAAAAUGAUGAUACUAAUUUUUACAACUUGGCCCUUAGCCCUUGGAAAGUUAUAAGAUUACAGCGAUAAAGGGUUGUAGGGCUAGCAUUGCUCAGGUAAAUUGCAUGGAAGGGCCCUAAUUUUUAACAUAAAGUCUCUAUUGAAUUCCUCAUCUUCCAAUGUUGCAUUAAAAUUUGUAGGUGAAUGCCCCAAAAAAGGGGUGUUCACCAAAAAAGGGGUGUAUAUUUUUCUUCUGUAACCGUAUAGUUUAUAAAUCUCUAGGAGUUUUUAGUUUUUUUUUUUUUUAUAAAAGAUAAGAGAGUAUUAUAAUCUCUUAGAUAAAGCGAUGUAAGAUUUACAUUGCUUUUCGGAGUGUAGAAAUAGCAUUCGUUUGUUGCAAUUACAUUCUUAGUCUUUAACAUGCUUUUCAGUUCAACCAUUUACUUUCUAAUUAUUGUAGUUAGGUUCUUAAUCUUCCACAAAUUUCAAUCGGGUCCCCAAGGGACCUUUUAAUUGUUACAACAAAAAUUAUUUUCAUUGACCAUCCCUAGUGCAGGUGGCAAAUAAUUUGAUGGCUAGUAUUGAGGUCCCAAAUUAGAAGCCUAAUAGCUUCACAAAUGCAGCUAAGUUCAUUUCUUAAAGAGAAAAUGAACAAAAAAUGAAUGAAAUAGGUACAUUGCUUGUUGAAUCGUUGACACUAAUCAGUAACCCCAAAAGUUCGAACGGUUAGAAAUAUAAAAUUAAUUGACGUAAAACAUACAGACACAACGCCCAUGGGUCUCGAUUGUGAUUCGGUCCAACCAAUCUCACGUCAUUUCGAACAUGACUCGGCCCAACCCGACCUCUCGCUAUUCCGAAUGCGAUUCAAUCUAACCCAACUUUCUGCCACAAGGCAAGAUACUGGUUCCUUUAAGCUGACAAUAUUAUUUUGUUCUCUCUUCAAAAGAAAAAGAAAGAUACGGUCAGUGAGGAUGCUUAGGUGGGGAGUGUACUUGGAAGGAAUCUUUUCUUGUGCAAGAAAAGGGAGGAGGAAGGAGAAGGGCGAGAUACGUGAAAGCUAUUAUGUGGGUUUGGCCUAGCUUUUAAAAAUCGCUUUUGGACUGAAAAAUAAUUUUCGGCCCAAUAGAGCGUUUGGCAACUCAUUUUUAAAAUCUGAUUCGGCUUAUUAGAAUCAGAAAACUGAUUUUGAAGGCCCCAGAAUCAGAAGCAAAAAAAAAACAGCUUCUUGAAAUAUGAUUCUGAUUUUGGAUUUAAACUUCAAAUUUUUAUUUUUAUUUUAAUUUCAAUAUUUAAAUUUAAAUUUAAUUUUAAUUUCUUACUCUUUCUCAGACUUCAUCCUUCUAAAUCUUUCCAAAUUUUACCCUUAAACUUUUCGCAAUUUUGAAAAAAUAGAUCCCUUCACACCACUCCCUCUCACAUUCUCCACAAUCCUUCUAAAAAUUCAAAUUCUCAAAUCUCAACCAUUCCUUCACAAACUUUUACAAAAUUUAACAUUUUAAUUUUAAAAUCCUUUAAAAUUUCCAUCUUCCAAUUUCACAUUUCACACAUUUCUCAAAUUUUAAAUUUUCUCAAUUUAACAUUUACAACUUUUAAAAAUUCUGGUAAUUUUACCUAUCUCACCCAUUUCAAAUUAAUUAAUUUUUAAUUUUUAAUUUUUAAUUUUUAUUUCUAACUCUUUAAUUCCUUCACAAAUUAAAUUUUGAAAUUAAAAAUUUAAUAUUUUUCUCUCACCAAUAUUUACUCUCUUACUCUCCUUUACACAUUCUCAAUCAACCUUACCUCCCCCUCUAUCUCUCUCUUACCACCAUUUAAAUUUCUCACAAACCUCCUCUUCCAACCAAUUUAAUCUCUCAACCUUCUUACAAUUACUCACAUCAUUUUAAAGUCUUAAAUCUUAAACUUCUCAAAUUUAAAGUUUGAAAUUAUAAAUCUUAAAUUAUAUAUUUUUAUAUAUUCACACAUCUCUCUCACUCACUCUCUCAAAAUUCAUGAAUCUACCCCUACUCACUUUUAAAUUCUAACUAUUUCUCAUCUUUUAAUUUUAAAUUUCCUAUUACUCUCUAAUUUUAAAUUUUUAAAAUUUUAAAUUAUUUUUGAAAUUAGAAUAUCAAAUUUUAAAUUUUGUAUAAUUUUGAAAAUUAAAAAUUUUAAUUUUCAUUCAAAUUUAAAUUUAGAUUUUAAAUUAUUUUAAAAUAAAAUUUAAUAAAAAUAUUAAUUUAUACAAACAUCAAAAAAAAAUUCCCAAAUAACUUUUCAAAAUCACUUCAGAAAAAUCACUUUUAUCUAAACCAUACCAAACGCUCUACAGCUUUUAAUCAAAAUCACUUUUCCAAACCAAAAUCUCUUUUUCAUAAAUCACUUUUUUAGAAGAUAGGCCAAACAGGCCCUAUCUCAGCUGGCUCGGACAACCAAACUUCACCUGCGAUCGGUCGCGCCACUACAACAGAAUUAGAUUAUACGGAUAUAUUUUUAAGACACUUUUAUAUAAGUGUCCCAUUAUGUCAAAUAAAAAAAAAAAAAAUCUGUUAAGACUUAAAUAUAAAGUCCAAUCCAAUCAAAAAUAAAAAGUUCUUCUAUUCAACCAACCACACCCAGCCCACUCAGCCCGAUUACAAUAAAAAAGAAAAAAAAAAAUUGAUCACCAUCUCCCCUUCUUGUCCUCCGCCGUAGCAGCCAACUAGGUAGGAUUCCGGCGGUUGGAGUUCGGCCACAAGAAUCUCGUAGAAACCGAGAAGGCUACGAUCGCAAUAUAUCCCUUCGCCACAAAUCACUGAAAGAGUAGGUGCCCAAUAUCAAAGUGGCCUUAUCUACAGCGAUCCCACAUAUAGCAACACUCUUAAGUGUCGAUAAUUUAGCCAAAAGUAUUCAAUAUUGGCUCGACCGUUUCUCACAUCCAAAAUAAAAGCUUACGGGAAAAAAAAAAUAAAGAAUUUAAUACAAAAAAAAGUGAAUUUAAAAGCACUACAACAAAGGGUUGCACUAAACUAAAAAAAAAAAAUUACUUUACAUAAAAGUAAAAAAUGGUCUUUUUAUUUUUUUUGACUGGACUGGAAUGAUAUUGCAAUACAGAAAUGUUGAGGGACUAAUUUAAGUUACUAUAUAUACAUAUCAAAAUAGUACAGGAACUGUGCAUAGAUGAUGCAUUUAAUUUGUCCUAGAUUUAAGUUAUUAGGUAGCUUAGUAUUAGAAAUUAAAUUAAACAUUUGCCUCGAUAUGGAUACGGAUCCCCGAAGAAGAAUAAAAUCCACAUCUGAUAUUUUUCAGGUACGCUUUUUGAUCGGAUCAUGUAUCAGAUUCAGGUCUGAGGUGACUACAACUGUCAUUAGGAACUAAUAUCUUGGCUUUGAUUAUUAUUAUUACUAUUAUUAUUAUUAUUAUUAUUUAAUAGAGUGAAAUCUCAUUGUUGAAAUUGUUUUCUUUCUAUAUUUUUAUAGAGAAAGAAAGGUAGCAAGCUGUGUACUUCGUUUUAGUUUCUUAAAAUAAAACUAAAUUCAGCUAAAAAUAUAAAAUAAAUUAAGUUUUGAAUUUAGAACCUCAUAUACUAAUGAUUAAAUUAUUAAUCAACUGCAUUGCCAUACUCAUUAUUGAUAAAAUUAUUAGUUGUUGGCAUGUAAAGGUGGGUACAAAAUGUUUGUAACUUCGUACCAAAAUUGAGUAGUUUGGGGCCCAAAUUAAAGGGAACUCAAGGAGUCCUUUCAUGAUGACCAUUACAAUAGGGAUUGAAUGGCCCUUCACUUUUUCACUAAUAAAAUUAAAAGUAAGAUAAAUGGUAAAAGGCAAACUACUAAAAAAAAAAAAGACAAAAAAAAAAGAAAAUUACCUUUCUUUUAUCUUUAAAAAAAAAACACCCUACAAAAAUAUUACAGUUUUGCAUAAAGGACGCAUGGGAACAAAAAAUCUUAGCAUAAGCGGUAAAAAACUUACUGAUUGACAACUGAGGUCUAAAGUUCGAAAUUUAAUUGCAUUACAUUUCUAGAAAAAUUUAUUUCUAAAAAAAAAUAAAUAAAUUGGCAGUACAUUUAGUAGAUCCAGAUGUAAAUUUUAAAUCAAAUGAAAAGAAAAUUAAAGAUCUAGAAGUUUAACUUUUUGCUUUCGAACUUGUUAAAAUAGCUAGCUGACCACUCUAGAAACUUAAACCGCUAGAUAAUAAUAAUUUAAUAUUUUAUAUUCAACAUAUACGUAUUUUUGCAGUCGUUGCUAUUAAUAAAGUAGAUAAAAUGAAAUCUUUUUAGUAUUUGUGCGGUAAACUUGAUUAUAUUCAGUAUAUUUCUUCUAAUAAUAAUAAUAAUAAUAAUAAUUUCUGUCACUUCCCGAUCCGGAAGCUUAGUGGGACACGCCACGUACUUGCGACAAACACAAAGAUAAUUAAUUUGCAACCCUUGUAGGCAUCGGGACACAGCAAUCUAGAAUAAUAGCACAUGAUAAAAAAUUUGUAUAGAAAGUGCCCAAUGAAAAUAACAUAAUACAUGAGUUUCCAUAUCCAACAAAUAAAAUCACAAUUCCAAUUAGAAUAUUAUAAAUCCAUGCACCUACAACUUAUUUGUGGGAACUCUACAAUUCUAUUUUAAUUUGACCAUCCAGCUAAAAGGCUAACUAGUCAGUCUCAUGGCCUCACGUUGUAUCACGCCUAUUCCCACUAGAUGUACCUGAAAAAUAUGGUACAUAAUAGAAUAAAAUAGUAUAAUAAACUUUUCAAUAGGUACAACGAGCUGGCGGAGACAAGCUAUUAAUUACUAUCAAUCUAACCAGAAAGAGUACAACAGAAACAGAAAUAGAAACAGUAAUAUAAAUAAACGAUCAGAAAAAUGAGCAUUCCAGUAAGAAUAACUAAUGCUAUAACUGUUAUCCGGCGAAUAGUCAGUGAAUGAAGUGAAAGGUACAAUUGGAGAUCUAGUUUAUGCAUCAAACUUAAUAUACGAAGUCUCAAAUUUAUCUUUGAUCCAACCAGCAGGGUAUGUUCUUUUCGAUUCGGUGCCAUAGAAUCUAAUCGCAACUGUCUAAGCUCAAUGUGAAUCACUGCCUAGCAGGUCGAGUCGCAACCACUCUUUAGAAAGAGCCCACCCCACCACAAGAUUGCAAUCUUAUACGACAGUAGUAAAUAAAUAGCAUAGAACACAGUGACAAGUCGCCAUGCUUAUGAUCAAGGCUCCAACACAAUAACAAAAACACUAGUCCACAACUACAAGUUGUCGACAAAAAUAAUAUCCAAGAGCCAAACCAAAUUGUAUAACCAAAACUAAGUGUUUGUAUAGAGAUAUCAUGAUAGGAAUAAUCCUCAACGAAACAUGCUUACUACUCAUGCAUAUAUAACGAAAUAAUAAUUUAGAUAUAUUAUAACAAGAACAGAUGCAGUUAUAAAAUUAAACAAAUUAUAUCAAUACCACAUCUCAAUAUAAAGAUUGAAAAACUGACAGGAAGGAUUAUCCCAACUUAAAGACCAAAAUCAUAAAUAAAGAAGGAUAAAAGUCAAGUUAAGUAGUAAAAACUCUAACCACACAAGUCCAAAAAGGAAUUCACUUACUUCAAGUCAUUUCCAAACCAAAAGUAAGCAAGUAUUUCCAUUAAAUAUCUACUAAACCAUUUUUUAAUAUAAUAUUUAUAAUGGUUUAUACUUACAUUUGAUGUUAAAUUUAUUAAUUGUUAGAUGAGAAAUGGUGAAUCUUAUUUAUAUUUAAUACUUCGUUUUUAAUAUAAUACGAUUAAUCCCNAAUUGAUAAGGAUGCAUGAGGUUAGAGUUACACGUGGCAUCCUUAUCCACUACUAGUCUACCAACUCAAAUAAAAACAAAAUUAAGGAUACUACACCCUUAUUCUCAGAUCAACAAUACGAGAUUAUUAUUUUUUCUAUUAAUUUUUGAACAAUACUACUGUUACAUCUAAAAAAAUAUAUAUUAAUCUUAAAUUCUCUCAUUCAUGAGUUCAUAUUGUGCCCUUAUAUAUUUUGUCAAAAAAUUAUACUAAAAAUCUAUAAAAAAAAUUCUAAAUGUAGGAUAAAGGAGCGUAAAAAUUUUAAUUUCUUUUUGGGUCUAAAGUAAAAGUAGUAUUUAUUUUUUUAAAAAAAAGGACGAAGGGAACAAGGGUGAGAAAUAUAUAAUAGGAAAAAUAGACCGUAUUAUUGUUAUUUUGCAAGAUAGUCCUUUCUACUUUAUAAAAUUACAAACUAUUAACUUUGGACCAUAUAUUAAUCAUAUGGUUUUCUACUGGUUUGUUUGAUCCUAAAUUCGAACUUUGAAUUAAUUUAAAACUCUCUAUUACUAUAGAAAUUUUUAAUUUAAUUUUUGAUUAUCUAACUGUAGCGAUCAAAUUUUUUCCUUCUAUUUUCUUUUAUUACAAAUUUUUCGGAUAAAAAUUCUUCAUCUGAAUUAAUUUUAUCCGUAAAUAUCGUCUUAUUUAACAUUUAAUAUAAUUUGAUUAUUUCCCUCUCCUCUCAUUAACAUAUUUAAUUUGAUUAUGAUUUAGAGUGCACUCCCAUCAAUUCAAACCCUUUAUCACGAUGGGUCAUCACCAAUUCUUAAAACUAUGUUAAAAGGCUCGAAGCAAUCCAAAAUUUUAAUAUUCUUAUACAUACAUAUCCAAUAUAUUUUGGAAUAAUUGCAUAUGAUUUCUUGCAGAAAUAUCAUAUAGAAAGUAAAUUUUUACAAAAGUUGAGUGAUCAAAUUUGUGACUCCAAAAAUCUUUUUGUUUGCAAAUAUAUCUUUCUGUUAAAAAAAAUAUUGAUAACGAUGAGUAAAAAAAUAUAAUAAUAAUAACUACGGUUAGACAAAGAGUAAAAUGACUUAUUUACCUGAGUAGAACUACUAUGCUAAGCAUAGAGAAUCCGGUGCUUCCGAUUUUUUGGCACUUAGAUCAACUCCUUUGAUCAUUUCUAACAUUUGGAUUAAUACUAUUACUCUGUGGGGACCACUCAACCCUAAGGGUACUAUUCAACUCUGGAGGAAACCGCUAUCGAUCAUUCCAACCGCAUAAUUUUUGAUCCAACGGUCAAAAAGUUGGAAGCAUCAGAUUCUCUAUACUUUCCAUAAUAUAGUAGCUCUACACUAUUUACCUCUUAUAUAUAUAUAUAUAUAAUUUGUACAAUAUUGAGUUCUACCACCUUUCCCUCCUCUUCUCUUUGCCUAUGUCAGUAGCGAGGCCUAUAGUGCUGAAGGCAUGGCGAGGGCUUGGCGCAACGAAGAUGAGAUAUAUCGCACGGUUGGUUGUGAAGGUAAGGGAAGAGAGAAAGAAAAAUAGCUUCUUUCAGGACAAGUUUGUCAGAGCAAAAUUAUAAUUUCACGUAUCCACCGUCAGAAAAUUAAUUGUGGAUUAAACUAUAGGAACAAAUAUAAACGUAUCAAAACUUUUCGAUGGAUAUAUUUGCAAAUAAUAAAAUUUUCGAAAAGAUAAAUUUGAUUAUUUAAAUAUUAUAAAAUUUUACCUGCUAUUCGAGACCUUUGCAAGGAGCUUAAACCAGCAUCUUUAUCACUCACAAGUGAAGAAAUUUAGAACAAAAAUAAAAAUUAUUCUAUAUAUUAUUUUCUAUUUGAAUAUAUUUUUUUGGAUUGUUAUCAACUAAAUAAGUUUGCUGGUGCUAAUAGCUUUCAAUUGCGAUGGUAUUCUAGAAGAACUAUAAUGGCUCGAAUUCGAACUCAUAAAAAAUGACGUGACGGAAAGAUUUUUAUGGAGUGUUAGGACGUCUAUGAAUAAGACUCCAAUAUAAAUAAAUAAAUAAGAUUUUUUCUUUACCUUUUUCCCAAAAUAUGAAUUUCCUAAAAAAAAAAUUCAUUUUUUCUUUUUAUCCUGAACACAAAAAAAAAAAAAAAGGCAAAACCUACCUAACAUGGAGGUGCUGAGAUGUCAUAUCUAAAAUACCCAGGGGCAAAACGGUCAAAUUAACGACCAGGCCAUUCACACUGCUACAAAGCUAGUAAGUGGCGGGUUUACUUUUUCACUUCACACUUUAUUACAGGACGGAGCCUACCUCAUCCAAGUGAAUUUCCAAUUUUGCCCCUCUUCUCACCUAUAAGAACCUAACUCCCUCCCCUCAUCUCUCUCCAAGAAACUGCUCCAUAAAAGUACAGAUUUUGGGAGCAAAUUCACUCCCAAUGGCUUCUUCUACCGAGAUUUUCGGCGCACUUCGGUAUCAAAAAUCUCCACGUUUUCAUUCUCCGAACUCUCUGCACCUCCGCAGCCGCGCGAACUACCUCUAUUUUCCCCCUGCUUCGCUUCCUUUGAAGCAGGGGAGGGGGUACGGCCCGCGAAAAUCGCGAAAGGUCGCGACUUCCGCGACGGCAACCGAGGAUAAGGCGGUGAGGGUGGAGACGGAGAAGCCCGCGAAGCUGAGAAUAAGCGCGACAGUGACAGUGAGGAGGAAGAAGAAGGAGGAUAUCGUAGAAAUGAUCACGAACCAAAUCGACACGUGCGCAGAUAAGAUGGGCCGCAGUGUUGUCUUAGAACUCGUUAGCACCGAAAUCGAUCCAAGUACGCUUAUGAUUUCUACGGGCUUUGAAAAAAAAAUUUGAUUCAAGUUUUGAUCUUUAUUAUACCACUGUUCAUGCUUAGAAUCGUACAAGGUACAGGUUUUCAUUGUAACGGCUCCAGCUAUUUGUUGACUUUUUCUGCACCUUUGACUUAGUUUUGAUGCAUGCAUGUAGCGCUAUCUCAUUGAGCAUUUAAUUUAAUAACAAUAUUGUUCUCCAACACGGUGUGCAUAGUCGUAACAUAUCACACGGAUCAUACUGAUUCAGCUAAAAUAUAAAUUUAUAAUAAAUAGUUUGUAGAGAUUUAUUUUUAAAUAAAAUUUUAGUUAUAAUUAGCUCUUCUUUUUGUGUAUUUAAGUUACUAAGGGUCCGAAAACAAGCAAACAGGCCGAGCUGGUGGACAAGUCCGAGAAGAAGGACGUAAAGGCCCGACAAGUCGUGUACAUCGCUGAGUUCACAGUCGAGUCCGACUUCGGCGAGCCGGGUGCGAUCACGGUCCUCAAUCGGCACCACAGGGAGUUCUUUCUGGAGAGUGUUGUGGCCGACGGCUUCGAUAGCGGGCCGGUCCACUUCACUUGCCAAUCGUGGGUCCAGCCCGCCAGAAUCCAGCCCAAGAAGAGGGUGUUCUUUACUAACAAGGUCAACUCUUGCUCCUUCCUAGAUGCACUAAAAAGCUGUCUGGUGCACGCGGCUGCAACUGCACUAUAGUUUUAACUAUGUUCAUAUUUAAAUUCAGUAUUUGAUUUGAUAUAAUUGAAUUCAACUAUUGCAUUAAAAUUAUGAGUUGUAAAUUGGCCGCAAUUCUAACUGCAGUCGUUGAAAAAAUAAUAAUAGUAACUAAUCGUAUCUACUUAAUCAUCUUUUACAAUUCUAAAUCUUUGCAGCACUUUCUACUAAUUCAUCCAACUAAAUGAAAUAUAUAUAGCCGUAACUAUUAUGUUUUUAAUUGCAUGCAUUUUCAAGUGUACUAUACUCAAAAUUGCAUUCAAGCAAAUGCCCCUAACUUCAAUUGCAAGUAACUUUGGAUUGGCCCUUACAAAAGAAAACUACUCAACCAGUCAAUUUAAUUACUUUCUCCAAAAUUUUAGGCUUCUAUACCUACACUCUCCACAUUGCUUUUUUCGUAGUUCGUUCAUAGAGCUCAGAAAGGUUAAACAUGUUAACAAACAGAUCACCAAAAAUAAUACACCAUAAGAGCCAAAAUAUUUUUUAAAACACUAUCUUCUAGUUGUACGGAUGUAUCAAGUUAUGUAUUUUGAGGCUAAAAAAUUCUAAAUAUCGAACUAAUGAAUCUUUCGGCCUUUUGUUAUGUGAAAAACAGCCUUAUUUGCCGUCAGAGACACCCCCUGGGUUAAGAGAGUUGAGAGAGCAGGAGCUAAAAGAGUUGAGAGGAGAUGGGACGGGAGAACGAAAGCUCACAGAUCGGAUUUACGACUACGCCACUUAUAACGACUUGGGUAACCCGGACAAGGGGACGGAGUAUGCUCGUCGAGUGCUCGGAGGAGAUCGAGUUCCUUAUCCGCGGCGAUUGAGAACUGGGAGGCCCCCGACUAUUUCAGGUAAACUAAUGGCUUAAGAUUUAUAAGUUAUAGCUAAGCGAAUAAGAUCUUGUUUGGCUCCGCUUCUUCUGCUUUAGCCAUUCAUAAUUCUAAGUCCAAAUUAGCUGUUUGGUUAGAUUCUUAUAAGUGUCCACAGGUUGGGCAAUCAUAAUAUAGCACCGGAUUUUAUGUUAUUUACUACGUACCGUACUAUUGUGUGGUCCAUUUUAGUACCACACAGUUGGAUCUGAUAGGUUCUAAGUUUUUAAGGACACUGAAGGUUUCAUUUCAUCUCGUUCAUCGCUCAACAAAUAGCAAAAGUGGUUAUUUGUAACAUGAAUUUAAGAUCGAAUUGGAAAUUGUCAUUCGAAUAAAAUUAGAGGCAAAUAGCUAGAUUAAGUUUACAAAUUCCCAGCAUAUUUUAGAUGUGUGAAGAGUAUAUCAUCAUGAACACGUUUUAAGAAAUGAUUUAUUGAGCAACUAUCACAAUUUUGUGUGGGAACUAGUUGAACGCACACAACAUCAAUAUCUUAACACAACUUUUGCGAGAUGUCCUCAGCAUCCACUAUUAUGUUGAGAAUUAGAUGGUGGAGACAAUUUAGAACAAUUUAACUAGAGAGCAAGCGCAGUCCGAAAGCGUUUUUCCACUCCAAAACCCUUUUUUUGUCGAGUGAUCACAAACGCAUGGCAGUGGAGCUAGGUAGGAAGGGUUUUUUUUUUUAAGAAAAAUAUAGUACACUAUCCACUUUAUUCAAUAGAAAAAUAAAUUUUGCAUCGAGAUGGAGACAGUUGAGACAUCACAAAACAAAAGGGAAAAGAGCACGCAAAAAAAAAAAAGGGUACACAAAAAGGAUCAAGAGAAAAAAAAUUAAAGUGUCGAAUGUCUGCCAAAAUUCUAACGCGAGUUUUUAAUUACUUCUGUUUUUAAAAAUAAUAUUAUUUCUUUCCAACCAGAUAGAUAACUCUCCAAGUUGCCAAAUGUCUAGUGAAAUCGUCAAUCAUCUUAUGUACAUCACAGUAUAUAUCAUGUGCUUUGGCCCUCCCAUGCACCAUGCUAACACCUUGGGCCCAGCAUUCAUCCCAACAACCACUCUCUCAAACUCAUGUAGCUUAUUUUGUCCGGAACUUAAAUUAGAUUCACUCCAUAACUAACAACCAGGCAUUUGCAUUUGCAUUUGCAUUUGCUGCCUCUUGCAAGCAAAGCGCAGGACCCAACAAUCAAAUCAUCUACAGGAGAGUCUAAAUAGAUAGGAGUUUUUGUGAGGAAUUUUUAAGGAAAAUAUAGGCAGAUUCAGAAGCAUGUACAACUGAUAAAUAAGAAAGAAGAUAAGAAUUUAACUGUGGUGGAUUUGAAAUAGUUCUAGGAUUAAACCUCUUAAUUCGACUAUAGCAUUAAUUUUGAACGGUGGUUAAGCUUAAAAAGUUAGAAAAGUUAAACGUAUUAGGAUUAGAAUAAUUUUAGAAUGAAUGAUUCUUGUGAGAAAUGAGAUAUCUCAGUCUCGUGGACCUAGAAAUACAUGACCCUAGGAUUACAUGUUUAUUAGUACUGCUACGUACAGAUCUCCUAUAAUGUAGGCCGCGUAUAUAUUGUUAAUAUAUAUAUAUAUAUAGAGAGAGAGAGAGAGGAAAAGUAGGACUACGAUACUUUUAUGAGUAUAUAGCUCUUUCUACUUAUAAGUUGUUUUCGAUGAUAGAACUUCCGAAUCAAUGGUUCACUUCAUUAAAUAUGAUCUAGAAUAUUUGAAACUUUUAAAAAAUAAAUUUUAUAAUUUUUUAAAAUUAUAAUAUAGUUCAUAAAGUGGGCAUAAAAUAAAUGGUCAAAGUCAAACGAUGUCUUAAAAAUGGAUGAUUGGAUUCUUUAAUUUAAAAUCCGAGUUAAUUAUUAAUCUUUAUCUAGAUAGUGAAUAGAAUUUUCUAUCAAAAUUUCAACCGAUUUUAAUUUUUUUUAUACCGUUAAACUAACAAGUAUCUCAUACCGGUCGUUAAAAAUUAUCAAUUUUGAAAUCUUUUGCUCGUAAGGUAAACGAUGUCAAAAAAUUAUAAAAUUUGAUUUCUAGAAGUUUUAAAUGCUCUAGAUAACAGUAUGGAUUGUCGAUACGGAAACUCUAUCAUUGAAAAUGACCUAUGAGUUCGAAAGCAAUAUCAUACUCAUAAAAAUAUAGUAGAGGGCACAUCAUCGAGUUUCCCACCGUUAGAUUUAACCCUUUGAUUAUUUUUAUCCGUUAAAUUAUACUAUUCAACCAUUAAUUCACUCAAUCUUAGAGGGCACAUCAUCGUAACUGUACAUUUUUUCAUCCAAUGACCUAUAACCUAAUAGUACCAAUUGCUCGACACUAUUGAUAGUAUUCCGGUCUAAUUUAUAUAUAUAUAAAAGAAUUUGAUUGAGCACAUCCAGCCACUCAUAAAUGCGACGUUACGGGGGGAACCCACGGCGAUGGUAGGGUCGUCUGCUCGGAAGGGAAGAUGCAUUCAACGUCCGGCAAAAGACAGCUCAACAUCGCGUCAAUUAUGCAACAAAAAAUUAUGGAUCCUGUGCGUCCUGACACCAACAAGUGACGGUCGGAUUUAAUUGUGCGGGCCCCACGUAAACACAAACGGUACUGUGCAUGGAGAUCAGGGAUUUAAUUGAAUUGUACUGUAAACGAAACCGCGGCCGCAGAUUCGCACGGUGGGUUCGCGUACCUGAAAGAGACUUGACGGCGAAAGUCGACGUGUCCGCAUCUGGGUCGUUAAGAUUUUUUGUGGUGUUCUUUUGAUUGAUUUUUUAAAAAAAAUUUUUGGGUGCCAAAGUGUUUUUUUUUUUUAACUUAUUAGCAUGCAGAAAUUUUAUUUACAAAUGCAGUACUAUUUUAAGGAUCCGAUGCAUUUUUAAAAAAAAAAAUUUUAAAAGGGUGGUGAUGAGCUAGUAAUACCGAAAUCUUUAUCACUAUCGUGUUUUAAGUUUGAUAUAUAUAUAUUUGUAUACUAUAUAUAAUUGAACUUUUAUAUUUUUAAAAAUAUCAAGUUAUUAAUACUUUUAAGUUUUCUGCUCUUUUUUUUUUAGAGAUAGGUAGCAUGCACGCUAUCCGCUUCGUUUAUUUUAUUUAGAAAUAAACUUAGCUAGAAAUGUGAAUCAACUAGGAUUCAAACUUGGGACCUCGGGUACCAACCACCAAGCCCUUUGUUAUUUGCUCUAGAGACGAUCAGUAAGUUUUCUGCUCUUAAAUUAACAGAUGUACGAUUAGAAUGAUAGUGGUUUUAUAAGGUUGAGUGGAUAGUUGUUUGAAUAGUAUGAUCUAACAGAUAGAAAUGGUCAAAGGGAUAGAUCUAACGGCGGAAAACUCAAUAGCACAAAUCGCUCGGUGUUAUCGAUAGUAUAGUAGCACAAAUCGCUCGGUGUUAUCGAUAGUAUUAGAGACAUUUUUUUGGUUUUUUUUUUUCACUUUUUAUGUUGGAGAAUUUAUUUCUUGGACUUCAUUUAAAUGGAUAAUAAGCAAUUUUUUGUAUACAAAUUUAUUUGAUGAUUGAAACAAAAAUAUUAAUAAUUGCCAUGCAAAAGAGCUUAUUAUCACGAUCUUAACGUUUUUGUUCGCAAAGACCGUGCAGCGCCCGCCUUCCUAUUUGAAAAUGGGCAAGUCUAACUCCUUAUUAGGGCUGGCAAACGAGCGAGCCGGCUCGCGUUCGACUCGUGUUCGGCUCGAUAUUCGACUCGAAAUUAAAUGAGCCGAGCUUCAACAAAAUAAAAGGCUCGAAAUUCAUUUCAAGCCGAGCUUGAGUAUUACUCGGCUCGUUCGAAUUAGGCUCGAAAAGCUCGAAAACCUCGAAUAUAUAUAUAUAUAUAUAUAUAAUGUAUUUUAAUUAUAUAUAGGCUUUAAUUUAAUUUGGGUCAUUAUUGUUGGCCCAUAAAAUAAACCCAACAAGUACAACCGUACAAUUGAGCCCAACACUAAAUUUACAUAACAUACUCUUUCUUUCAGACUUUCACUGCUGCACAUAACCCUAAAAUAUGAUAACAUUCAUAUUCCCAAAUCCCUAAUUUUUUUUCCCCUCUCUCUCUCUCUCUCUCUCUCUCUCUCUCUCUCACAGACCCUCACCCAGUCAGGCAGUCACCCUAUCUCACAUUUCUUGCAAUUAUUUUGUAUUUUGAACUAUUGGAUAUGUUGCAUCAAAUUGUAGGUAAUGUUAUAUAAAAAUUAAACUAUUGAUUAUAUAUUGUCGAGAAUUUCAAUCGGCUCGUUUAGAGCUCGAGCUCGGCUCGACUCGAAAUUAGGCUCGCUCGAGCUCCGCUCGAAUUAAUUUCAAGCCGAGUUUGAGCCUAGAUUUAGGCUCGAAAUUAAUUUCAAGCCGAAUUUGAGCUGACAUAAGCUCGCUCGAGCUCGGCUCGUUUCCACCCCUACUCCUUAUUGCUAGUCUGGACCUUCGCACCCUACGACUAAGAAUGCAAAAAGAAGAGAAAAGAGAAGGACAGAGAUUUUCGAAAAAUUAAAUACUUCACUAUUUAGAAAAAUAGGACUACAAUGCAAAACUCCUCUUGUAUCUCAAUCUUCUACUUCUACUUUGGCCUUAGCCAACCCUUAUACUUAUAAGCUCCUAAAUACAUUGAAUUUAGUAUACACUAACUCACCAUUAAGCACACAUUAAAACACACAUUAACUCACCUACUAUCACAUAGUAAUGAGCUGCCCAUGUCUCUUGGGUUUUCGCCGGCGGUUGUGGAGGCAUUAAUUGCAGCAAUUACAUAACCCUUCUUCUCAAAUAAAAGACCGCUGAUUUUGGGCAUUCUUAACAACCCGUUCCACUAGCAAAGAUAGGCCAGGAACUUGGCCGCAUUGAAAAAUCGUUGAAUCCCUGAUAUUAUGCUACAUUUUGACUGGUUUGGUUCUCAAAUAACAUGGUAGGAAAAGCGCAAGUGCAGUAUUUUUUAAAAUUUAGGCCUAAAGUGGGUAAUAGUAAUGAAAAAUGUAUGAACCAAGUCACAAAAUAUCUCGAUAAUUAAAAAGCCGUUAAAGUUUCUGAUUAUAUGGAUAUUUCGAGUAACAUAGUAUUAGAAUCAAUUCUAAAUUUCUAUCGUUCUAUAUUUAAUCUCUACCUUCAGCAGCUAAUUUUUAUUUAUAAAAAAAUCAAUCUUUUGAGUAGCAUGACCUGCUCUGAAAUUAUUUACAUUUCUUUUUUUUUUCUUUUCUCUAGACAUUCAUACAGAGAGUAGGGUGGAGGAACCCCAGCCGAUGUACGUACCGCGACGAGGCAUUCGAGGAGGAGAAGCAGGAGAUGUUCCGUGCGGGCGAGCGCAGGGCGAAGCUCCACGGCCUGCUGCCGUCGAUCGUCGCAUCCCUACGCUCGUUGGAAACCGGCGACGACGACUUUCGGGGAUUUCAUGAGGUGGACAGCCUCUUCAAAGAAGGGCUAGGUUCAAACCGGAGCUUGUUUGAUCACAUUCUCCACAAAGUUCCUUUCGUUAAAGAGAUUCAGGAGUUCGCCGAGGGAAUGCUCCGUUUUGACACUCCCCACAUCAUAGCAAGUAAGUUGAAAGAAAAAAUAUGGUUGAUGCAUGUUUUAUAAUGCCACAUACUUAAAUUUUUUUUUUUCUCACAAGUGCCUGUUUGAUCGAACUUCUUGGUUAGUUCUUUUACACUCGAAACGUAAUUGUUGAUGCGAUAAAAAGUUUUCUGCAUUUCGGGUUCAACACGAAAAAGAACUAAAAUUUAAAAGUUCUGGACUAAAAUUUGUAAGCAACUUUACUCGAACAGCAAUUCUUUAUAAGCUCCAGGAGUGAAAAUAGGUCGUCAUAGGUGUAAAAGCGAAGGAUUUCAAAAUAAUAUGUGAAAAGUUAAAUGCAAAUACACAAAUUUUAUAUAUGUAUUAUAGCCCAAUUUGAAAUGAGAAUGCGAGUUCUAAAUAUUUUGCUUUUACUAUCUAGGAAUAGUCAGUAACUUUUUUUUCUAAAAUAAGACCAUUGAAUUUCUAAAAUCUAGAAAAAACACAAGUUUGAUAGUACAAUUAAAUGUUUUGUAAUUUAGAAUUCAUAUUUCAAAAUAAGUUAUAGAUUGCACGUUUGGCCCUUAAAUUGAGGCAUGCAACACUUUGAUCUUUAAAUUAACUUUAAUUUAUUGUAAUUUUUAACUCGAACUUUCAGGAUUGUUGCGAUCAAGUCCAACAAUCCAAUUUCGUUAACUAAAUAUUGACUCACCGCUUAUGUAAAAUUGAUGAAACAUCCUAAUUCUUCGCUUAUUACUGAUCACGAAACUGCUGUAUUAUUUUCACAUUAACAAUUCAUUAAUAUUUAGUCUACUGAAUUAAGUUAUAAAUUUUAAUUUGCAAUAAUUCUAGAGUUCUAAUAAAAAAUUAUUAUAGUAAAUUAAAGUUUAACGAACAAACUUGGCAUCUCCAUGAUUGUUUGAGGACAAUAUGUGCAAUUUAUCCCAAAAAAGAAAAAGAAAAAGAAAAGUUACUGUAGUGGUUACUGUGGUACUAUGGAGUGUCUACUUGUGUCCAAGUUUCAACAUUUUAAUGGAUAAAAAUAAAAACUACAUCAUCAUGAGCUUUUCGGGUGAAUCAUUAUAAUGCAAUUUAGUAGGUGGUGACUAAUUGGUACGCUUUAUCAUUUUGUGUAGGAACAAUAAUAUCUAGGUUCAUAAUUUUAAAUAGAUCUAGUUAUUAAAGAUAACUAUUGAAUUCAACAAUAAAACUUAGUAAAAAUAAUUUUAUAGAUAAAAAAAAAAAAAAAUACUUCAAAUAUCGUACUUGUGAUUUUGUACUUUCUCACUUAGUACCUUAUGAUUUAAAGUGUAUCACUUUCGUACCUGUAGUUUUAUCUUUCUCUUUUUGUUAUUCCUUUUACUAAUUUUUUUUGUUAAAUUAGUGACAAAUUUAAAAUUAAAGAAUAUUAAAGUGAAUANUGGUUUUAUUUUUUUCUUUUUGUCACCCCUUUGUUAACUUUUCGUUAAAUCAUAUAUAAAAAAAUUUCAGAUAACUUUUUGUUAAAUCGAAUACCUGUAGUUUUAUCUUUCUCUUUUUGUUAUUCCUUUUACUAAUUUUUUUUGUUAAAUUAGUGACAAAUUUAAAAUUAAAGAAUAUUAAAGUGAAUAUUAAAUAAACUACUGGUAUUCGAUUUAACAAAAAGUUAUCUGAAAUUUUUUUAUAUAUGAUUUAACGAAAAGUUAACAAAGGGGUGACAAAAAGAAAAAAAUAAAACCACAGAGUACUAAAUUGAUAUACUUUAAACUACAGAGUACUAAAGUGAAAAUGUGCGAAAUCACAAGGGUGGAAAUUAAAGUUUACCCUAGAUAAAAUUACUUACAGGUGCUGCAAUACAAUUCUAUAAUUUUAAUAAAAUUGCUGCUGGCUAAAUUAUUAAGUUUGAUAGUAUUAGUAAAAUAGAAAAUCUCUAUAUCUAAAACUUUUAAUCUAUUUUUUGAGUUGCAAAUUAUGGAGAUGUUUAACUGCUUAAUAAUGUGAUACGACUACUCAUUUAGAUGGUCCAAAGCUCUAACCAAUUAGAUGGUCCAUAGCCUAUAUAUGUUUUACAAAUUUCAAAAGUAUUCUUUGUGGUCCAUUAGUACGAAGGAUAAGAUUACGCCAAUUCUUCGAUAGGUGUUCUUUUUGGACCAAUAAUUUUCUCGCACCAUAUUGGCGUACUUUGGAAUAAGUUUUGGCUCACUAUACUUCGAUUGUUUUAGUGGUGUUAGUCCUCAAUUAAUGUGAAAAUAUUUUAUCGAUUAUUCAUGCAACAUUGAAAUUCAGUGGUUUACAUGAUUAACCGCAUAUGGAACAAUUUCACAUUCAGAAGAUCUUUUCUCAAAAAGAAGCGGAGUUUGGAAUCUUUUAGCCAAUUUAGAUUUGAUCGUAUCGUAAGAUAUUUUUGAAUACAUUGGUGUGAGUUCCUUAAAAUGUUGUAUUUAUAUUUUGAUUACAGUUAUUUAUGAUGGGAAGAAUUUUAAUUAAUUCAUGCGCACAUUUUAAAAAUAUUAUAUUAGCCAAUUCAUUUUUAAUUUGGAAGGAGCCUUUGAUAGUUAUUAAUCGUCACCAAUUAUCACUCACGUAAGUCGUCGAAAAUUACUGUAGCCUAGGUUGUACAUGAUCCGGGAAUUGGCACGUGGCAACAGCUCAUAAGAUUACUACACCCAAUCAAUGCAUGCCAUGUCAUUAUCCAGGAUUUUCUGGGACCCACCCAUUUUAACAAAUUUUAUUUAGAUUUCUUUUAGUGUUCAUUUUAACUUUUAAAAGUUAGCAUUAAUCACCCGAGCAAGCACUUCAUUGAAAAAAAUAUAUAUUUGGAUUCAUAUUAAUGUUAUAAUAAAGAUGAGAUAAUUAUCUGUAAAUACGUUAUCGCAGAUGACAAGUUUGCAUGGAUGCGCGACGAUGAGUUCGCACGCCAAACACUCGCCGGCAUUAACCCUGUCAGUAUAGAGCGGCUCCGGGUAACUCUCCACGACUUCCAAGAGCAUAAUUUUCGUCAUUUGAAAAAAAAAUUUACCCAAAAUAUCUUCAGAUGUUACGAGUGUGCUUAACAAACUUUAGGGAUAUGAUCUAUUAAAUAUAAAAACAUAUAAAUAUUAUUCUCAAACAACUUAAACUUUGAGGGACCGUUUGGUUAGAUGUAGUUAUAAAUACAGUGUAGUUAGAGAUACAUGCAGUUAGAAAUACAACAGCUAUAACUACAUGAAUCUUAUUUAGUUGGAUGUAACAGAAAGCGCUGCAAGUAUAAAUAAUUUGUUUAGUUGCAUGCAGUUGAGAAAUAAUUUUUAAAAUUUUAUUAUUUUAUAUAUAUGAUGGUGAGAUUACCUCCAAUGUAAAAAAUAAUAAUAAUAAUUUUUGUUUAAAAAAUAUUGAGGAGGUAAGUAUAUCUUUUAUUUAAAAUUACUCUCUCCAUCUGCUGUAGUUGGAACUGUGGGCCAAUUUGGGCGUAGUUCGAACUGCUACAGUUGGGCCUCCUCCUGCAAUUCCUCCUGCAACAGUAGGAGUUAAAUAUAUCAAAUCAAACACGAAAUUUGUAUUUACAUACAGUUACAACUAUAGUGCAGUUACAACUACAUGCAACCAAACGGUCCCUUAGAGCACAACGGUUGAUUAACAUAGUAUCAAACAUGAGGAAAGUGUUAAAUAUAAAAAUAUAUAAAUAUUGUUAUCUAACAAUUUAACCUUUUAGUCUAGAGUGGUAACUUAAAGUACAGCGAUUGUUUCACAUGAUCGCCUUUUCAGGUGUUCCCACCUGUUAGCAAACUUGAUCCGGCUACCUAUGGGCCUCCUGAAUCUGCCAUCAGAGAAGAACACAUCAUCGGCCAUUUAGAGGGCAUGUCAAUUCAAAAGGUGAUUAUUCUAUUUAUUGAAAAUUUUAAUUUUUAUUAUCUAAUUUUUAUUUCUAUAUAUGUUUUUUUUUUUUCGUAUAUUCAUUUUCUUUUAAUACCGUGGCAGGCGUUGGAGGAGAACAAAUUAUACAUUUUGGAUUACCACGACACCUACCUUCCUUUCAUCGACCAAAUCAACGCGCAAGACGGCCGAAAGGCCUACGCAACUCGCACGCUAUUCUACCUGACGGAUCUCGGGACCCUGAAGCCGAUAGCGAUCGAGCUCAGCCUCCCUCCGAUGACCAAGAACUGCCCUCGCGCGAAGCGCGUCCUCACGCCGCCCGCCGACGCCACCACCAGCUGGUUGUGGCAGCUGGCCAAGGCCCAUGUUUGCGCCAACGACGCGGGCGUCCACCAACUCAUCAAUCAUUGGUAAAUGAAAUAUAAUAGGACAUACUCUUUCUGAUGUCAUGUCACUUUAAAGAUCAAGUACGAUGGAUGGAACCGUCACAGAUUUGAAAUCUUUUUUUUUUUUUUCUUUCUUUUUUUAUUUAUGAUCGAAUGUUUGUAACCGAGUUUGAAAUAUUUGGGGUACAUAGGUUGAGGACGCACGCGUGCGUGGAGCCGUUCAUAAUAGCUGCGCAUCGGCAGUUAAGCGCGAUGCACCAGCUGCUGAAGCCUCACAUGAGGUACACCCUGCAGAUCAACGCCCUCGCGCGCCAGACCCUCGUCAACGCCGGCGGAGUCGUCGAGUCCGGCUUCACCCCCGGAAAGUUCUGCAUGGAGAUGAGCGCCGCCGCGUACCGGGAUCACUGGCGCUUCGACCAGGAGGGCCUCCCCGCCGAUCUUAUCAGAAGGUAUUGUUAUUGUUGUUAUGGUUAUUGGUCUUGUUGUUGUUAAUAUUAUUAUUUAUUAUUAGCUAACUAAAGUUAUGUUUUAGAUUAAUAAAUUUGACUCGAAAUUUUAAUUUUAAAUUUUAAACUUCAAAUUUUUAAAAUAACUUAAAUUAUGUAAAAUUUUUUAUAAAUAUUUAUUUUUUUGACUUUUCCUUUCUAACUGUCAAAAAUUUAUAUUUUUCUCUCUCAAUAUUUUCUGUUGUUGCAUUUAGUCCCCUUCCCCGUCGCGGUUCUAUCAACUAUUUCAUCAAUUUCUUAUAAUUUAUACCGAAAGUACCCUUCAAAAUAAUAAAAAUAAAUUAUUUUUUUUCUUAUAAAAGAAGUGUGGAUAAUUUGGUUAUUUUGCGCUUUCUACUGACGUCGUACCCUCUGAAAAUUUUUCUUAAAUUUCAAUGAGCCAAAAUAUAGAAUUUUAAAAGUCAGAAAGAAAAGUGAGAAAACGAAUAUUUACAUGGAGAUUUAAUCUCCAGUAAUUUAGCCUUUUGUUGUUUUUGAUAACAUUAAAAAAGAAAAAAGCAGCUAAAGAUUUUUUGAAAAAGGAAUUAAUGUAUGUUAACAAGUGUAGGGGGAUGGCGGUGGAGGACCCGCGGGAGGCGAGCGGGGUGCGGCUGGUGAUCGAGGACUAUCCGUACGCGGCGGACGGGCUGCUGCUGUGGUCGGCGAUGGAGCGGUGGGUGCGCACCUACGUCGCCGCCUACUACCCCACCCCGCACCGCCUGCGCGCCGACGCCGAGCUGCAGCGCUGGUACGCCGAGGCCCUGCGCUCCGGCCACCCCGACAAGCGCCACGCCCCCGGCUGGCCCCCGCUCGCCGCGGUGGCGGACACGCUCUCGACCAACUCUGGCCACGAGGAGUACCUCAUCGAGGAGCUCCGCGGGGACUGGACCGGGGACGCAGAGAUGGCGCGUGCGGAGUUGGGGUUCACGGCGGAGGUGCGACGCGCGGGGGAGGAGAUCGCACGGUGGAACGCCGACCCGGCGCGGCGCAACCGGUGCGGGGCCGGGGUGCCGCCCUACGAGCUCAUGGCGCCCACCUCCGGCCCCGGGGUCACCUACCGCGGCGUCCCUAAUAGCAUCGCCAUUUAUUUUUAAUUUUAAUUUUAAUUUUAAUUAUUAUUACUUUACUUUUAUAAAUUUCUUUCUUUUUUUUUUCCUUGAUACUGUUGCAAAUAGAAAAUGAGAGAUGGCAAUCGCUUCUCUUCGUAAGAGAUCCCCACAUGGCUCAGCAACGCGGCUGUGCUCCUUACCCCCGCCCGCCUGGAUCUUCGGUUCAACUCCCUCUCUGGCCCCAUUCCCUUCACCUUCUCUGUUGCAGACCUCAGAUUUCGAUUGCAACGGCAAUAAUGUUUUGUCAUCGCUUCUAUCUCCAUCAGACUCAUGCAAAAAAUGAGUGGCAGGUGUGUAGCAUCAUACGUUCAUUUUUAUGUUAUUCUCCUGCAAUUCUUAUACAAAAUCCNUUAUGAGAAGUAUGCUUUCCAAAUCACGAAGAUUUUCGAGCUUUUAAUCUGUUUUUGAUUAUAGGCCAUCUGAUUCAGCUAUUUGUGUAAAGAAACUAAUAGCCUCAUAAUAAAUCGUUGAAAAUAAAAAUCUCAUAAAAAAUAAUAAUAGUGAACUUAAACUUCAAAUCGGAGACUAUUGAUCUUGCCCUCGAUGUUAAAUAAAAAUUUCUAUUAAAAUUUUUAGGACCUUAGAUCAAUUUGUAAAUAACGGCGAAAAAUUUAAAUAAUUUGGUUUCUAAGUAAUUUUAAUAGUAUAAAGCGUGUCUAACGGAAUAUCUAGCCGAAUCGGAUGUUUUAUCAUCGAGCAUAAUUUGAAAAUAUGAAAGCCUUCGCACUUUGAAAAGUAUACAAGCUGAACUCGAUUAUAUGGUGUAUGAAUCAUUCAAAAUGUAGCCUUAAAAUGCAUCAGAAGAGAAACAGCGGACGCUUUUGAGCUCCACAACUGCUAAAUAGUUCGCCUCAAAAUUCGUACAAAAAGCUCCAAAAACGUUUCACAAACUGAUGAGUUUGAAUGAUUAAAUUUAUUCAGUAACAUUGUGAUCCGUAGACAACCGUCGAUAAAAUACGUUGCCUAAAUAAGUUUGUUGAGAGUCUGAAACAUUUGUGAGUGCAGCAGUACUUAUUUUUCAUCAUAGAUCUUCGCACAAGUCGCUCGGUAAAUUGGACGAUACGACAUUUUCUGGAACAAUUCCACAAUAUAAUGAAGCAUGAAUGCAUGGUGUUUUGGAAACUGGUUGCAGAAUAGGGUAGUACAAAAUAAACUACUAGAGGAUACAUAUGGAAAAAUUCUAAUUAGUACAAUGUAGUGCUAUAAUACAGUUGCAUAAAUGCAACUCAAAAAUAAGAACAAAAUUUAUAUCUGAGAAACAACAUCUUUCAUCAUCUCAUGCCCUGCUACGUUCCAAUGUUGCUCACCAUCUAUCCUUUACAACGGCAAAUAUACAAUUUCUCUUGUCAUAUAUCAAUUGAAAAAUAAAAAUAAAAAUAAAAAUAAAAAUAAAAAUAAAACAAAUAAAGCAAAGAUGCAAACGAAUACAAAUUAGAAGGUCGGUCGUAUGAGAUAAAUGUGUCCCGCCUGCACGAGCUCCCCCCUAAAAAUUCGCCAAAGUCAUUCACCAGAGUAAAAUUUAGCAAACACGGCUCAACGUCGAGUCAGUCUUUCAGUGUUCAUUUUUCAAAAUUGAAAUUCAACUUCCGUUCGAGACGGAUAAAGUAUAAAUGCAAGGGGGGGAAAAAACAAGGAGAGACUUGUGUUCUGCAGCGCUUCACUUCUUCAUUGUUAAAGACCCACAUACUUUCAGUCUCUGCAUAGAAAAGAGAGAUUGUAACACGGAAGAUCUUUGAUGAUUCGAAAUAAGAGUCUGAUAAACAUUUCAAACAUCGGAAGGAAAGGAUAAAUAUACCCACACCUCUUGAACUUCCAUGCUUUUAUAGGCAGACCUCUAAUUCAAAAUUUUCGAAACCUGCGACCUCAAAUUCAUGUACUAGUAUAAUCUACACUUUCACCCAAAACAAAAUUAGUUUCCAAACGGUUUCUCGCAGUGCGUCUAACAUGUGUAUCUCAGUGACCAAGGAUUAAACCCCAUUUUGAGCAAAGCGCUAACAAAGUCCUAAUUUGUUCUGUUACUGCAUGAUGAAAGGUGUUUCAUUAUUCAUAUUUAAACACAUGAAAGACAAGCAGCAAGAAAGCUCUUAGAAACUAACAUUGUUCAAUUGCACCAUUUCAUGAAAUUUAAGAGGCUGAUAUAAAAAAUUAAUGAGUUUAGGGAAUAUGCCAGUAAAAACUUAGUUAAAUGGGAUUAUCCAUAGACAUUAAAAGGAAAAUUUAGAUUAAAGUGAUUUUUGAACUACGGAGAUUACCAAAUUGCUUCACAACUUUAAGUUGAUCCUCUCAGACCAUUUAAAUAUAUCCGAAUAAACUUGAUCACCACCUAGGUCCUCUCCGGUGGCUCCUGCUGCCACUCGAAUGAUAUCCUCAAUCAAAGCAAAGUUGCCCAUUAUGUCGACAUGGGCGCCACUCUGUGUCCCCCGGCCCUCCAAGAGAUUAGCAGGGGGUGCAUGAUCAUACUCCCUAAUAUAUGUUUUGAUGCCAGAAGGAUUGAAGCGGGUUCUUCCCCGCCACGCUUUUGCACACAUGAAGCCUGAACUUAGAACAGGCACAGUCUCAUCCCCAUUGACCAAGUAAACACCGCCUUGUAAACAGCUGCCGUCGUGUCCACCCUCCGCUGAGGUAUCAAUCUGAAAGGGAAUGGAGCACUCGGUAGAUGGGGAUAACUUAUAGACAUAUGAUCUCUCAGUAAGGAUGCCAACUCCAUACAUUGAGAAUAUCUCCAUAUCAGGGGCAUUUGGUAACCUUGUGAGGAAAAUGGGGAAAAAAAAAAAAGUGAGAAAAGAAACUUCAAAUUUGUAAGCGUUUUCUCAGCAUGCAUUCUAUGUUCACAAGCAGAGAGAACUCGUAGAAUAUGACAAAACAAUCUGCUCAUUAAGUCUAAAAAAUUCAGAUAUAAAGGACAGAUAUUGCACUCUAUUGUAAGACCUAUUGAAAGACCACAGAGCAUGCCAGUUUGCAACUAUUUAGUCAGAUGUAACCUUACAUUCCAUAUGCUAUAAUACCUAGACAAGUUAGCAUGUUGAUCUACACUAAAUGCCAUGUAACUUAAAAUGGAGUCCGGCUACUAUACUCUUAUGAGUACAAUCGCCCUCGUACUCAUAAGUUGUUUUCGAUGAUAGAGAUUCCGAAUCGACGAUCCACACCGUUAAACGUUAUUUAGAGCAUUUAAAACAUCUAGAAAUCAAAUUUUAUAAAUUUUCGACAUCAUUUACCUUAUGAUCAAAAGGUCACAAAAUUGAUAAUUUUUAACGGCCGAUAUGAGAUAUUUGCUAGUUUAACGGUGUAAAAGAAUCGAAAUCGGUUGAAUUUUUUAUAGAAAAUUCUAUUCACUACAUAGAUUAAGAUCAAUAACUCCGAUCUUAAAUUGAAGGAUCCGAUCAUUCAUUUUUAAGAUAUCGUUCGAUUUUGACCGUUCAUUUUAUACCUGCUUGAUGAACUUUAUUAUGAUUUCGAAAAAUUAACAAAUUUAUUUUCUAGAAGUUUCAAAUACUCUAGAUCAUAUUUAACGGAGUGGAUCGUCGAUUUGGAAGCUCCAGUAUUGAAAACAACUUAUGAGUAUGAAGGGCUCUAUACUCAUAAGAGUAUAGUAGCUCUAGCCCUCAAAAUGAAUGCGUUGGCAAAAUAGCUGCUGAAAAGGAUAACAUAGAGAUUUUCCGCUCAACAAGCCGAUAGGGAUUUUGCAGUUGACAAGCUGACUUAUCUUACAGACUGACCUUUUUCUCAAUGAACACCUAGGAACCAGGGCAAAUGCAUGAGCACUAGUUAGGCAUCCAUUAGAAGGUUUCCAACAAGGACAGUCUUCGGAUGUUGAAAAUCAAGACCGCCAUAGCCUGCAGUCUUGAGGUUUAUUACAACCAAUUUGAACCCCCAGAUCCUAAAACAAUUCAAAAAUAACCUAAAAAGCCAAGCAAUUUUCCCUUUUCUCCACUAUUUCCUUUUCCUAAAAUUUGAUAGCCUAGGAAAAUCAUAAAUCAUACCAUUUUUUAAUUAAUAAUGUAGUAAGUUCUAUAUUAGAUAACAAUAGUAUCAGAAUCCAUGCAAAGUAUCAGAAUCAAGUUUUAUUCAAGAGGCAAAAGAAACUCCACAAAAGAAAUUAUGUUGCGAAAAUUCAAACUAGAUUAGUCGGGAGUAUAAGUAUAAACUCUCACUUUGUUUCUAGGGGAUUUGACCAAUAUUUGUAGUGGUUAUACUUUGGGUCAUCCAGAUUAUCAGCAAUACCAUAUGAGAAGUGAGCACUUCCACGCUGCAUCAUCUUCGGGGCAACAAAAUGAAGAAGAUCCAGAAUGGAAUCAGUUGUAUACACUUUGUAAUCAGCUACCGCUUUAAUUCCGCCCCAUCCCAAUUCAUGGUGCUCUGUCCAGACAUCUCGGCAUGAUGCAUUUGAAUGAGCAAGAUUGUUACCUUUGACAGCAUCCUGAAUGAGAGGGGGGGGAAAAAAGAUUAGACAGAAUAGUAUGGUAUUUGAAAAAUUAAUAUAGCACAUUUAAAGAUAUCAAGUAUCUAUUUGAAAAAUUAAUAUAGCACAUUUAAAGAUAUCAAGUAUCAAAUCAAUGCCAAUUUCUAAAAAGAUAUCUAUUCUAUUCAACAAAUGUCUGCGAGUAUACUUUCAGAACAACCAUCAUGUCCAAAUAAAGGUAUCCCAAGCCUCUCGGAUCAGUUCUUUUAUAUGGUAUGGACAAACAGUAGUUCUUAAGGCAUGAAAGACAAUUAUAACAUGUGAAUAUUCAUAUUAUAAACAAACGAACAAUCUUGCCAGGAUCUCACCAAGUGUACCAAAAAUCAACUUAAAAGACAAGCAUCCCGCAGAAAGAGUUAGAAAUUUAUCACCAGUCCAAUAUAAAUCAGAUAUGGUAGCUAACAUCAAUAAAACUAAAAAUUCAAAGUGGUUAUCAAUAGAGUUGAUUAUGUGGAUUAAGCUAGCAGCAUUCCUAGAAAAAAUCAAUAUGUCAACUCAGACUGACUUAUCAGCAUCAAACUCGGAAGAUUGACACUUCUUUUCAUAGACUUCAGAGCUAUUUCAAUGUGAUACAUCAAGUGACUUCAAAACAUGGUGUAAUAAAACCUAACAAAGCUUUUAACCUUAUGUCCAGAAGUAUCAAAAUCUGUUAUGUUUUUUAAAUUAGGCUUAAAAAUAUUAUCAUAAUAAAUUAUCUAGAUUCUCGAUAAGAAUGUCCAGCUAUAUAAUCAUGUAACUCCUAACUAGCAACAUCUAUUUUUUGCUCAUUUGAUACAAAGCUGAGAGACCUUGAGAGGAUACACAUCCAAACCCACUAUAUCCUACAAUAUCAUAUUAUACAGCAUGGCAUAUAAUGACAAAAUUUAGUCUGAGCAGCUAGAAAAGAGAACGAGGGUAGAAAAACUAAUGUACAAUAAGUCUUCAUAUUGCAAUUUUCUUUGAAAUAAAUAAAGUUAAUACUUACCCGAAAAUCAAUGCGCUCUAUCGUAGAGGCAGGUGCCUCUGCUACAUCCUUCCCGAAAGAAAUAAUUCUUCCAUAGUUAACUUUUUGCGAGUGAAAAUCUGCCUUAUCAGUGUCAACAUCCUUAGAAACACGAGAGUCAUUAUUCUUUUGCUUCUUGGAGCUACAGACAUAGCCCUCUUCUGGAGACCAAUCUAGUCCACCCCAUAUAGUAUCACCGCCUUUAGGAAUCAUUGACAUAGUAGAGUCCCAUGUACGAGUCAUACGCAUGACAUGUCGCAAUGUCUGAAGACCAAGAAAGUCUGAAUCUAACACCCCAGGUGCAAUAGCCCUAUACAUGGAGAGAAAAUGAUGAUACUUUCUUCUUUUCCACCAAACUAACAUACCAAACUUUUACUGGAAAGAGCAACAAACAAUUAGAAGAAAGACUCGUCACUAGACAAAUGACGUUACCCAAGUAGAUGAGAAGAAACAAAUAUGUUUUAACACCACUUAACUAAUUUAACGCCACUUAAACAAGCUUUACAACACACAUCUUACAGGGGGGAAACACGUAUAAUCUCUUGAAAAGAGGUGAGUACUCGUACUUUUUAAAUAAGAGAGAAUAAACAAAAUGUUGUACAUGCUAAGGUCCAAACUUGCUGUUCAUGUCAACCAUGGACAUUGGUACUUGACGUUGAGAAGAUUCAGUCAGAAGUAAGAAAAAUCCAACCAGACUAAUUGCUGACUGAGCAAAAGCAAGUACAAGGACUUGCCAUAUGAGCACAAAAUGUCAAAUGGCUGGAAGCGACAUGCAAACUAGGAGAACCUCUAUGAGGAUUCUCAUACAAGCCAAAGAACAGAGAUAUUGUUCUCAUUUAGGAGGCAACCUUCAUCGCUGUGACGACAAGCCAACAAGCUAAAAUAUAAUCUAGUGCAAAGAAUACAUCUUUCAAGUCCAAUAAAAUGAUGAAUUUAAGGCACCUUCAGAUACAAGUAACUAAUAGUAUGUUAACGAUAGAAACAUUUCAUUAGGAAAGGUUAAGCUGAAAGGAAAAAUUUGACGCUGUGUCCACAUUAACUUUCCUCAUGUUACUAGUUAUCCACCGGAAGUAGGAAAAAAGAAAAAUAGAACUGCUGAAGAUGCAGAAGUGACGCGACGUAGUAAUAUAUUGUCAAGGCAACGAUUAUAACUAGUAAUCUUGUUGUUCCAAAUAUUCAUAUAAGAUUUUGUUUUUAGCUGGAAAUAAAUAACUACAUAAGGCUAAUAUAGAAUGUCAUUUAGUAUAGCCAUCCCUAAGUGUACCAUUCACCACGUACCAGUACAUAUUAGUGCAGAAAUUGUAUAUUUUAAAGCUACAAUUUACAUAACAUUUACUAUAUGAUAUAUUUGAUCCUUCAAGACAGAAAAGAUAAACGUGAGCAGAAAGGAAAAAAAGAAAACUUGUGUUACCCUCUAGGAGAGCGUACCUAUAAUUAAAUGGACGAUACAUCAAGAACAUUCGAGAAAAAGGAUACUUUCUAUAUUCACUAAAACAAUCCACCUUCAGAAGAUUAUCAAUAAUAAAUCAGCAGCCAGAACAAUCUUCCUAUCUUCAGUAGUCGCAUUAGCAAAUAGACAAAUAGGCCAAAACCUUUUUUUUCUCCCUUUCUAUGCAAGGACCAAAGUAUUUACAUUUCCAUUUAGAGAAAUCGCCAAACAACUUAUUAAACAGAAUAGAAACGAACUUGAAUUCUUGCAGUUUUUCAUUGAAUCGCCUCUUUAUUGGGUAGUCUACAUUUGCUUCAUUCUGUUUUUUAUGCGGUACUAGGGGUGUAAAACGGGUCGGGUGGCCCAUGGGCCGGCCCGGCAGAUCUAGCUGGCCCGCAGGCAUACCGGGCACGGCCUGCAACCACAGGGUAGGAUUCAACCCGGUGCGGCCCAAACCAUUUAGGACCGGGCCUAAGGGCUGGCCCAGCCUGUUUAUUCUUUUUUUUACUUAUUUUUUCUAUUGUUUUUAGUUUUUUAAAUUUAUUCUUUCAAAUAUCAAUUUAAAAUAAUCAAGUAUUAAUUUAAAAUAAUCAAAUUUUAAAUAUUUAUUUAAUAAAAAAUAUAUAUUUUUUAUAAAAUUAAUAGUAAUUUUUUUAAAAUAAAAUUUAAAUAUAAAAAUUGUAAAAAGGGUCAGCCAGAGGGCCGGCACAGCCCGUGCAGUUCGAGCUGUUGACCGUGCUAGGCCACGGUCCAAUGCCCGACCCGGAUUUGAAUCCAAGCUGGGUGGGGCCACCUUGUGGCCCGGAUUGGCCCGAAAAAUUCUAGGCCUUGCCAGCCAGCACGGCCCAGAUUACACCCAUAUGCGAUACCCAAUGCUAUGUUAUGGUCACACUCAAUGCUACCUAUAAUUAACUUAUUUGAUACCAUCUAACUUAAUUCUGUAACCAAAUUCCUACUAUAUCUAGAUAACAGCAGUCAAAGCAGAAUAUUAGCCUUGAUGAAUAAUGCAUUAAACUGAAGAUAGAUUUCAAGAGAAUUGGUAUUCCUUAAUUAUAAGUGUCAAACAGAAGUAGAUAUUUAGCUAUAUGCUCAAUUAGUGAAAUUCCAAUGUUAAUCAAGAUAGCAAUGCUAGUAUAGAGAUAAUAAAGUGUUUUGAAGUAUCACACAUCAUAGACUAACAUUUAAGUUACAAAGCUAUGAUUUGUACCUUAGGUUACCGUUUGGUUCGAGAACAAGUUAUUUUUGUUUAUUCUUGGGAUAGGUAUAACUUCUGGGAUAGGUAGAAAUUAAUUCAAUUUUGUGUUUGGACGAGAAUCGAGAUAUUUAGAGGAAUAAGAAAAAUUAUGUUUGGUUGAUUGGGUUGGAAUAGUAGGGAUAAGAGUAAUUAUGAUUGAAAAUAAAAUUAAUUUAUCUAAAUAAUAAGCAUCUAGGUAUUAGUAAGAUAAUAUUUUAAUAAGUUAAUAAAUAAAUUAAUCAAAAUUACUUUAUAAAUUAAUUAAAAUUACUAUAUAAGAUGACAAAGAUGACAUUAAUUAGCAAAUAACUAUAAAAAAUAAGCCAAUAUGUUAAUAUUAAUUAAUUAUUUAAUCAUUUAUAUUUUUAGUUAAUAUAUUAAUUAUAUAAAUUAAAAUACUAAUUAUUUAAAUAAUAUAAAUAUUAGUAAAUAAUUGAAUAUAUGGCUAACUAUUUAAUUAGAUAAAUAAUAAUAAAUUAUAAAUAAAUUAUUAUUUAAAUAUUUAUUAAUCUAAUAAGUUAAAUAAUUAAUUAGUUAAUUACAAAAAAAAUUAAUUUCAUUAAUUAAUUAUAAUUUAUAAUUAUUUAUAACUUAAUUAGUAAAGGAAUAAGGUAGAGAAUAGCUUGUUCCACCCAAUAGGUGGAACUAUCUUCCCUCUUAACGGGUUAUUCCGGAAUAACCCAUUAAGAGGAGAAUAGUAGUUCUUGGCAAUUUUUAACACCGUUUGGAAGAAUAAGAGGAAUAAAUUCCUUAUUCUUCCUUUAUUCUUUGAACCAAACAUAGCUGUCAUUUGGUUGCAAGGAAAACAUUUUUGGAAAGUUUUUUCCUAAUUUCAAGGAAAAUUAGUGUUUUCGUUUUCCGAAUUAUUUUUUAGGAAAACGAAAAUACUAGUUUUCCAUAAAACUUCGAAAAAAACUUUCCAAAUAAGCUAGUUUCCCUUGGAACCAAACAGGCAAAAAACUGGAAAAAAGAUUUUUCAUAGAAAACUUUUUUCUUGAAAACCUUUUUCCAUACUUUUCGGAGGAACCAAACAGCCCCUAAUAGUUUCACGGAAACAUAAGGAUAUCAACUAGAGCAAAAGGAUAAGUACUUAGGAUCGCAUAUACCCAAGCAUUUUUACAAUUAUUACCUAGCAACAGCAACAUCUUUGGCUUCAGCCGAGAAAAGACCAGCAACAGCCUUUGGAACACCUAAGAAGGGGCCACCAAUAUUCAUUACAGCUUUGAUAUGUUUUGAACACCAGUUUGGACCGCCGCCGCCACCCGUAGGAGCAGGUGCUUCAACCCAUUUCAUAAAAUGCAAAAAGUACAAAACUCCCAUGGAAUGCGGGAUAACCACCACUUUAUUGCCACCAUUUGUUGAUACCAUGAGUUCUAUGUUACUCUUUAUUCUGCUUAGGGUCUGAUCACGGACCUGUUUGCAUUUGCUCGUGCAAGCACAUGACGUAUGUCAAAAACCUUGGGAAGGAAUUAAUAAACUGCUACAAAAGGAGAAUGCAUACAAAUGGAGAAUGCAAAACUGAGCAAGAAAAUACACUUAAAGGAGAAAAUUAGGUGGUGUUUGGGUGCAAGUAUUUGCAAUAACACUGCAAUUAUAAGUACAUGCAAAUCCACAACCACCAUUUGGUUUCAUGCAUUUGAAUCCAACUGCUGCAAUUGGAACUGCACAAAGAGGUUCAAAUGCAGCAUUUGAAACAAUGCCAAAAUUGGCCACAUUUCCAACUGCAACAGUUAGAGAGAGUGACAUUAAACAAAGUAAGCUUAUCUCCCUAAUAAUCUUCCAAACAUAAAAUGAUUUUUUUAUAUAUAGAAGGUAAUCUCACCAUACCAUAUAUAAAGUGAUAAAAUUUUGUAAAUGCAUUUGUCAACCAUACAUAACCAAACAAAAUAUUUAUAGUUGCUGCACUUUCUAUUGCAUCCAACCAAACAAGAUGUAUAAUUAUAAUAGUUGCAUUGUCAAGAGCAUGCAUUUUGAACUACACCGCACUGACAAUUACUUCCAACCAAACAACCCCUUAGAUGUGACUGAACGAAAUGAAAGGGUACCAAUCAGGUAUUUAGAAAGUUCAAGCUACCUCAGUGUUUUGAAAAGAUAAUCUCCAGUCAUAUGCAGCCAUAUACAUUGUCUUCUCUUCAUAUCCAAUGCGAGCCAAAUUAGCAAUCAGCACUGCCCAGACAAAGUAUCCUGGAGCAAAAUAAUCUGCCGCAACAAGCCCUGUAACAGGCCUAACUCUUAUACCUGGAGGAUCCAGCCCAGUUUCAUUGUCCAAAGACAUAUGUUCAACCCAGCAUAGAGGUCUGAGGAAGAUUCAUGAACAACAAACGUUAUAAUUGAUACCGAUAAGAUGUCUAGCAAGUUGAAUUAUGCAAAAGGUCGUCAGAGCAACAACUAAUGUUCCUUUUAGAUAUAGAACAGAUUCAGACAAAAGACUACCUAGACAAGACAUCUAAUAGUACAUGCAAUAGACCCGGGUACUUAAAAAUUGAAGAAAAUAGCAAUUUAGCUGGCAAAGAUUCAUCAGCAGGAAUGUAAUAAUUUACUCAACAAUGCCAUGAAAAGUCAAUUAAAUGAAUAAAUUGCUAUAUGUGAUGAUUGCUAUAUCAUUGUUCGGAUCUCCCUUCAACACCAUUAGCUUGUCACUAAAAUCUAGAUCAACACCCUCAAUCCUAGCCACUCAUUCCAAACAAAGGUCUAGAAAAAGAAAAGAGAAGACACUUCAUACCAUUUUCCUUGACUCUUGAAUAACGGAAGCAAGGCUUCGACAGCCCAUGUCGGUCUGCACAGGGUGAAACACACUGUGUCGAUAGGCCACUCUUAAAUAAAUCCAGAUAUAUCUGAUUAAUCCACCUUACUUUUUUUUUUGCUUCUUAUGUGAAAUGAGACAAAGUGCUUCUUAAAGCCUAAUUCUCAACUCUCCGUUGAAGAACAGCCUAAAAUAUACAGCACGCGACAGCAUGGAUGCAUGCUUCACCACGUGCCACAGCACGUACAUGCUGACAUAUGACCUACAUGCCUACAUAGCACUGCAUGGCAGACCUUGUGGAGAAAGAUAACAACUAAAUAAAUUUGUCUUCUUCUCUAACAACUGAACUUGAAUGGAAAUGAAACUCAACCUCAUAUAAGACAAAAUGAAAAAGAUAAAGGUUAUAUUGUAAUUUUUUUUUUUUUUACUGCCCCAAGUCAGAAGAACUAUUUUCUGGUUCAUGCAGUUACUGAAGAGAUAUACGUAAACGCUAGAUCCAGUCCCUAUUAACUUUAGUGAAGCAUCCAUUUACGUAUAACACAUGUCACUUUGUGCACUUUUGAUGAAGAAAAGUUUUGUUCAAGGGGGCACAAUAGAAAUUUUGAGAACAUUAAGCUUGCUCAUUACUAUUACUAGCAUUAGGAGAAUAAGUAAUCAAGCUAUAACAUUAAGAUACCAACAUUAAAAACAAAUAGACAAGAACAAAGCCCUAUCAAGUUUUGAACGACACGCAAUUCACAGAGUCACAUCCCAAAAGUAGCUAACUUUUUCACAAUUGGCUAAACUACCUGUUUUCUAAUUCUACUAUAACAAUCAAGUUACCACAAAAUCCCAAGCUAACAUAGCAAACUAUAAACACCACUUAUGAGGAAAUCUCCAGCAAAGUAAUUUCCAGAUUCGUGUAUACUUCCUCCUUCGUAGUUCUACAAAUUUCAGUCCCCACUCCCCGGAAAUCCCAAUCAUCACUAAUACAAACUCAAUCACAAAGGAAAUAGGGUUGAACAGAGAGGACAGAUAUAUACCUCUUGUAUACCUCUCCGAAGGUUCCGCCCCAAAGGCGCUUUCGGAAUAGGCCAUCGGCGCACUGGUGGCCCUCCCAGAGCUCGAGCCCCCCGGUGACGAUGCCGGGGACGAACACCACCGGGUGCUUCGCCUUGAGCCCCUCCUUUUGGAGCUUCACCCCGGGGGGGUCCGGUAACGGCCCGGUGAUCGCCUCGGUCACGUACUGCGGGAACGACGCGGGCAUGGCGUUGUAGAGGAAGAGGAGAAGCCACCACACGGAGCAGAUGCACCCGAUCAACCAACAGCAGCUAUCCACGCACGACCACCUCUGCCCCUUCGUCGCCUUCGCCCUCGCCCUCUCCUUCUCCUUCGAGGGCUCGGCGACCUCCGCCCUCGCCGGAGACUGCGGCGCCGCCGGCGGAGGCGGGGGUGCCUGCUUCUCGGCGGAGUCGGAGGGCUUCCUCCGCCGCAGCAUCGACAUCGCCGCCGCUCGGAAGGUGGGGGGCCGCGGCGGAACCCUAGCGCUCACCGAGUGUUUCGAAACCCUAACCCUAACCCUAGGGAGAAGGAGGAGGAGGGAGACGGGAAGAGGCCGCGCUGGUUUCGCGGAACUCCGGUUCCGUCGGGAGCUUGAGAGAGAGAGAGAGAGAGAGAGGGGGGGAGGGGAGGAAAAAAAAUAUAUCAGAGAAAGAGGGGGGGAAGUGAAAGUAUCGACGUGUCGUCGUCGUCGGACACGUGGCAGGAAUCUAGAGGCUUCUGAUCGGAAUCUGGUGGGGCCAGCUGUGAGCCGACGAUCAGGAUCAGCUGUAACGUGCCAACCAGCGCUCUCAUUCGAACGGCAGUGUUGACUACCGAACCAACGUGGGAAACCGUGGACCGGGUCUAUAGACCGGGUUCUCCAAAAACACAAAACUAAUGCGCAAAUAGUAAUGUUGGUCCCCAAACUACAAGCCGAGUGAUGCUUUCCUCCUUCAAUUUUAAUUUAUUAUAAUUUUUAGGUAAAAUUUUCUAGAUUGUUAUUAUGCAAUGCAAUUUAGUUACCUAAACAAUAAUACGUUAUUGAUGUGAUAAUGAUAUAGGAAUAUUAUAGUUUAUGAUAUGAAAAUAAUAAAAAUGUCACACUGCUGCUAUAUCAGUAAUGUAUCAUUAUUAUAACAAUAAAAUUGUAUGGUAUGAUUCAAUUACAACAAUAUAUAAGUUCGAAUCACAAACUAUAGCAAAUUAAAGUUCUAGAAUUAAAAUGUCAUGUGUUUUAUAGUUUAAGGACAAAAGGUGCAAUUUACCCAAAUAAUAACACCAAAUUAAGUAGCAACAAAUGGGAGAUGAUUUUAGCGGAUCUAAAAUUAUUAGUAAUGAGCACAUUUCCUUGGAUUUAAUCAAACUAAAUUGAUUGAUUUGACAAAACUGAUUUGCUUCUAACAAACUCAAAUAGGUAUACCCCACUUCAGGGCAUAUCAGUAGCAUUACUCUAUGGUUAUUUGGAUAAUAACACUUUUGGUCCUCAAAUUAUGAGACGCAUGAUAUUUGAUCCUCAAAUUUUAAUUUCUUAUAAUUUUUUACUCGAAUUUUUUGAAUUAUUUAGAUUAAGUUCCACAAUCCAAUUUAGAUUGGCCAAAUAUUAAUAAAUGGCUAAAUUACAGAAAACCCUCUGCUAAAAUCUGAUUUUUCACUUUUCCCUUCCUGUCAUUUAAAAAUCUAUACUUUGUUCUCUUAUAAAAUGAAAAAUGUUUACUUUACUCCCUACCAUUAGUGAUCCGUUAGAGUUCCGUUAUAAAAUAUUUUUUUAUAUCGAAAAUACUCUCCGCCCUCUCUACUGUUGCUUCGCCCUCCAACGCCUUGCCGCCUUGCCCUCACCUACAUCUCCGUCCGCGCCUAUAAUGUAGUGUUCUAGAGUUUUGGAUAGGAUUGGCUUCAGUGUUAGUGACUGGUCGACACAUCUGAAGAGUGUCGGACUGAGUCGGAGUCGUUUCUACGUGAAAUGGGUGCAAAAAUGGACUCAGCGCACUCAAAUAGGCAAAACUGAAGUUUUGCCAGUUUAGGGCGCCCAGAACUUGGUUUAGGGCGCCCAGAUCUUGAGUGCUGAUUUGAGCAAAAUUGGAAGCCAAUUCGGAUCCUAUUCUGGGCGCCCAGAAGUGGGUCCAGAAGUUUACUUUGGAAAUAUCGCUGGCGUUGACACGUGUUUGUGGUAGGUGAGGUCCGCCGGAUCAAGAUAAGGGUGCAGCACACCGUGGGCGGAGGAACUGAAGAGGGCUGUUUGUGCAGGCUGGAAGUUCUGGGCGCCCAGAACUUGAUUUAGGGCGCCCAGAACUUGCUUUUUCUGCAGCAGUGUAGGUUUGUAUCUAAUGUUCCUAAGGCUUAUAUGACCAUUUAAUAACCCUAUAAAUAGGUGGGAGACGCCCCUGGUAAGCUCUUUUCCUCUCUUUCUCACAGGGAAACUUACAAUUGCAUUCCAACCCCUCCAAAUCACUCAAAUUGCAUCAAAAGUCCACAACUUCAACUUGAGGAGUGCUGAUUCUGCAGUUUUCCAGCGACGACCUUCAGUGCUUUAGCUCGUGUGCGACGUAGGAAAGCCGGAUUGCGGUGAAACUUGGUUUGUUGGAUUCUAGACUUCAAGAGGAAUCCACGAAAUCCAAUAUUGCAGAUUUUGGUGAAGGUUAGCUUGGUCGAACUCAAAUUCUUCUCUACUGCUGUUGUUUUGGGCAGAUUUCUUUGAUGCUAUCUUUGGAGGCAGGGGGAUUUUGGAUCUGAGAUUAAUACUCCAUCAUUAUUCAUUGGAUUUGAAACUUGCCUCACUUGAAUUAGAGAUUAUUAGGUGAGUUUUGACAUUGGAGUUGAGACAAAUUAAGCUUAAGUGCUGAAAUUUGGUGAAUUGAUGGAUUUUGAUGGAUUUUGGGUGUAGAUCCUUCGAGUAGCUUUGUUGCUAGUUGUGGGUGAUCUCGGCUGAGGCUUCCAGCAAUUCGUGACCUUCUUGCUGCCAGAAAAUUGCACUAAAGGUGGGUGUUUCAUCGGUUUCGCUCCAUAAGUGCUUGUAGUCGACAUGUAUGAUUUCGGUUCUUGUAUAUCAUGUUGUAGCUCAAAUUCAUUGAUUGUAACAUGUAUGAAAUCUGAAUUGGGAGCAUGACUAUUAAUUAGAUGAAUAUACAUGUUGGAUUUGGAACUUGACUUAGGAGAAAACCAGCGAUUCGACCUGUCAUAUGAUUCUACUACCUGAUUUAGCUCUAGGAGCCGUGGUUUGAUUGUAUCACUGCUGUUUCAGCGCGGUGGAUAUCCGGGGUAGUUUAGAAUGUAUUUACGCUCGUGCUGGGAUGCCGAGCUUAUUUUUACAGCAGAGUCUAGGCUGUUUCAGAUUGUCGGGUGCCGUCGGGGUGGACGGUGGACCCAGAUUUCUGUUUUUGGUCUCAGAUUGUGCCGAGGGCACGUGGUUUGGUUUUUAGACCUGUUUUGACCCUAGCUACUUGACUUUGGCUUGUUAGAGCCUGAUUGAGCUCGACAGAGAUACGCUGCAUACUCGGUUGGUAGCUCCCACGAGUGCCACUCCGGAGAUGGGCGCUGUACUUUUGCGUUGGUAUCGUUCGUGCAGGUUGGACUUGCUCUCCACAGACUGGUUAGUGUGGAGGUAGCUGUAUAGUCGCAACCGGGCGGGACGGGUGUGUUCACAGUCCCAUGGACGGGUAGGAUUACAGUCCUUAUUUGAGAUUGGGUCUGAGUUGACACUGUUCUACAGAUGGUUAGAUUUAGAACAUGAUAGUAUAGUGGCAUAUAGCUGUAGAUUUGUUCCAACUUUCUUUACUAUUCCUGCUAUCCCUGUAGACUUAGUAGGUGGACUGAUGAGUUUGAGGGCGGUACCCACUAAGGACUACUUGUUUUUACAGUAGUUCUCACGCCCAGUUGUUACCACUGUUUUUGUAGAGCCGUCGCCUUCGGCUGCUGCUGUUGCUGAUCUUGAUCGUGGCAAGGGCAUCGCGAGUUAGAGCCCUUCCAGUCGAGUCACAGAGCUAGAGGAGCACCAGCUACAGAUAGUUGUAGUUUUUAGGUCUUUACAUAUAGUUGUUGUUUCUUGCUAGAGCGAGUAUUUGUAUACCUUGGAUGACAUGUAUGUAUUGAACCACAGUUUUUUUAUAUGGUUUAUUUUUCUAGCUGCUCUAUACUACUGUUUGUAGUAUUGUACAAUUACAGGUACUUCUACUUUUUCGCUUCGUAUACAAAAAAAAUAUCUAUGCAUACGGCAGGUCUGUUAGCGAGCCCGGGGGAACGGGUAAUCCGGGGCGUGACACAUAAACACCCUCUUUACCCUCCUCCGCCGCCUCGCCUUCACCCUCGUUACCUUUGCCCACCUCUCCAUCCACAUCCACAUCGAUUUCCUCCCUACUGUCGCCAAAAUAGAGAGGCGACGAGGGUACAGAAGAAGAAAAUGAGCAAAUGGAGAAGAAAAUAGAGAGGAACUUCGGCCGAUCGAGGCGGCGGAAAAGCAAGAUGAGAGAGAAGACGAAAAAGGUGAGGGGCAAAAUGAUCAUUUUGUCAUCACAGUUCACACCGUACCCCCUGUAAACAUUUUUCAUUUUAUAAGGAGCCAAGGUGUAGAUUUUUAAAUGACAAGAGGGGAAGUGAAAAAUCGAAUUUUGACAUAAGAGUUUUACGUAAUUUAGCCUUAAUAAAUUGUUGAUGUAAAAAUGAUAUAGCAUCUUAAUUAUUAUUGCAUUAUCAAUCACAACACUUCAUAUCACUUGUAUAUUAAUAAUUUGUCAAUAUUUAGCCAAUUAAAU
rnacentral:lncRNA from 1 species